UUUUAGUGGUUCCACUACACCACUUCCU
rnacentral:tRNA from 1 species